AUUCAGUGGCUGCUAUUACGGCUGUUGUUUCUAACAUAUUUCUCCACGAUGAGUAAUAGCUGAAGAAUGAAUAAUAAACCUUAUUCAUUCUCUUUGUUUCAAAUGUCUACUUAAAAUGUUAGCAGGGUAUCAUGCAACAAGUAUAAGGAGCUGUUCUUUUUCCUCAUAUCCAUACCCAAUCCCCUGCCACCUUGGUUUUGUGUUCUCUCUGAACAUCUGCAUUGUGACUUUGCUUUUCUCCCUCUCACUGGAGUUUAGGGCAUAUACCUAAGUAGAAUUUUUAAGGUUAAGGUAUUAUUUCACAUUUUUCUUAUUUCACAUAUUUUUUCUUAAGGAGGGAAGGUCUUUGAAAAUAAACUAGAAACCAUUCUGGAAAACAUGAACUACAAACUUGAAAAUGAAGAAAUGAAAGAUCUACGGAACCAUUUGAAAAUUGAUGACAAUGGAAAGAUUUUAUUAAAUUCUGUGAUCAGUGCAGCCAAUUUAUUUUCUGGUGAUAAGAUAAAUGCCAGUGACAUACAACUUUAUCUAGGAAAUGUAGGUAUUGAAUUUACAAAUAAAGAAAACCAGGAUCUACUGGACAUAGUGCCAUUGGAUGGUAAGCAUUUCAGACCUUGCAUUCAAUUUCAGAGAAUCUUGAAUUUAUGA
rnacentral:lncRNA from 1 species